rnacentral:rRNA from 1 species
CGGCGUGCCUAACACAUGCAAGUCGUACGAGAAAGCCGGCUUCGGCUGGUGAGUAAAGUGGCGCACGGGUGAGUAACGCGUGGAUAAUCUGCCCUUAAGUGUGGAAUAACGUACCGAAAGGUGCGCUAAUACCGCAUAAUGCCUGGCAACACAAGUUGUCCGGCCAAAGAAGGCCUCUGUUUACAAGCUUUCGCUUCAGGAUGAGUCCGCGUACCAUUAGCUUGUUGGUGGGGUAAUGGCCUACCAAGGCUGCGAUGGUUAGCUGGUCUGAGAGGAUGAUCAGCCACACUGGAACUGAGACACGGUCCAGACUCCUACGGGAGGCAGCAGUGAGGAAUAUUGCGCAAUGGGGGCAACCCUGACGCAGCAACGCCGCGUGAGUGAGGAAGGUUUUCGGACUGUAAAGCUCUGUCGAGCGGGAAGAAGUGUACCAUGGGCUAAUAUCCAUGAUAUUUGACGGUACCGCUAGAGGAAGCACCGGCUAACUCCGUG